rnacentral:rRNA from 1 species
CGUGUAGGCGGUCGUGUAAGUCGGGUGUGAAAUCCCGGGGCUCAACCCCGGAACUGCACUCGAUACUGUUCGACUAGAGUCCCGGAGAGGAAGGCGGAAUUCCCGGUGUAGAGGUGAAAUUCGUAGAUAUCGGGAGGAACACCAGUGGCGAAGGCGGCCUUCUGGACGGUGACUGACGCUGAGACGCGAAAGCGUGGGGAGCAAACAGGAUUAGAUACCCUGGUAGUCC